rnacentral:rRNA from 1 species
GAUGAACGCUGGCGGCGUGCCUAAUACAUGCAAGUCGAGCGAACAGAUGAGGAGCUUGCUCCUCUGACGUUAGCGGCGGACGGGUGAGUAACACGUGGAUAACCUACCUAUAAGACUGGGAUAACUUCGGGAAACCGGAGCGAAUACCGGAUAAUAUAUUGAACCGCAUGGUUCAAUAGUGAAAGACGGUUUUGCUGUCACUUAUAGAUGGAUCCGCGCCGCAUUAGCUAGUUGGUAAGGUAACGGCUUACCAAGGCAACGAUGCGUAGCCGACCUGAGAGGCUGAUAUCCCACACUGGAACUGACACACGGUCCAGCCUCCUACGGGAGGCAGCAGUAGGGAAUCUUCCGCAAUGCGCGAAAUCCUGACGGAGCAACGCCGCGUGAGUGAUGAAGGUCUUCGGAUCGUAAAACUCUGUUAUUAGGGAAGAACAAAUGUGUAAGUAACUAUGCACGUCUUGACGGUACCUAAUCAGAAAGCCACGGCUACCUACGUG